GAAGGGGUGUAUUUAUUAGAUAAAAAACCAAUGCCCUUCGGGGCUCCUUGGUGAUUCAUGAUAACUUCUCAGAUCGCAUGGCUCUACGCCGGCGACGGUUCAUUCAAAUUUCUGCCCUAUCAACUUUCGAUGGUAAGGUAGUGGCUUACCAUGGUUUCAACGGGUAACGGGGAAUUAGGGUUCGAUUCCGGAGAGGGAGCCUGAGAAACGGCUACCACAUCCAAGGAAGGCAGCAGGCGCGCAAAUUACCCAAUUCCGACACGGAGAGGUAGUGACAAUAAAUACUGAUACAGGGCUCUUUUGGGUCUUGUAAUUGGAAUGAGUACAAUUUAAACCUCUUAACGAGGAACAAUUGGAGGGCAAGUCUGGUGCCAGCAGCCGCGGUAAUUCCAGCUCCAAUAGCGUAUAUUAAAGUUGUUGCAGUUAAAAAGCUCGUAGUUGAACCUUUGGCCUGGCUGGCAGGUCCGCCUCACCGCGUGCACUUGUCCGGCCGGGCCUUUUCUUCUGGAGAACCGCAUGCCCUUCACUGGGUGUGUUGGGGACCAGGACUUUUACUUUGAAAAAAUUAGAGUGUUCAAAGCAGCCUUUGCUCGAAUACGUUAGCAUGGAAUAAUAGAAUAAGACGUGCGGCCUAUUUUGUUGGUUUCUAAGAC
rnacentral:rRNA from 1 species